GCACAAGCAGCGGAGCAUGUGGUUUAAUUCGAAGCAACGCGAAGAACCUUUACCAGGACUUGACAUCCCUCUGACAGUCCCUUAACCGGGAUCUCCUUCGGGCAGAGGUGACAGGUGGUGCAUGGUUGUCGUCAGCUCGUGUCGUGAGAUGUUGGGUUAAGUCCCGCAACGAGCGCAACCCUUGUCUUUAGUUGCCAUCAUUUAGUUGGGCACUCUAGAGAGACUGCCGAGGAUAACUCGGAGGAAGGUGGGAUGACGUCAAAUCAUCAUGCCCCUUAUGUUCUGGGCUACACACGUGCUACAAUGGCUGGUACAAAGAGACGCAAGACGGUGACGUGGAGCAAAUCUCAAAAACCAGUCCCAGUUCGGAUUGUAGGCUGCAACUCGCCUACAUGAAGUUGGAGUUGCUAGUAAUCGCAGAUCAGAAUGCUGCGGUGAAUGCGUUCCCGGGUCUU
rnacentral:rRNA from 2 species